GAAACAGCUGAUUAAACCUUGGCCCUUGGAUCUAAGCACUGCUUUCAGACUGGCUUGUGACCCAAUACAAAAUCUGAUUUAGAGAUGGGAAAUUAAUGAACUUCAUAUAACCCAGGCAGAAUACAGUGUCCUGACUUGCUACUCUGACUGGGGAUCCUUUGAAGUCUGAAAUCAUGGAAAGUUCAUCACCAAAGUUUGAAAGCUAAGAUGCAGCAAACUGAACUGACCAGGCUGAGAGGUGACAUCAGUGAUGGGAUCAGAUCUGGAGCAGCAAGCCUUCAGCAAGUCCUGCAUUCCAGCUGGCUGGCUUUGCUGGUAGCUGUCUUUGUUAUAGGCCAGAGGGAUGUUGUCACCACAGAGUCGGAAUUGUCACCACAUGAGCACCCAGACCUGGGCUCAUCUGGAGGGCUGACAGUUCAAGAAAAGAGUUUUCUGUAAGAGCACAUCAGCAAUUGUGGAGCAAGGAGGGGAAAAAAAAAGAAUUGUGGUCCCCAUUCUGCUCUCAUCA